UUUAACGUUCAAAAGCAAAACAAACUCUAGAAUGAAAUAGUUUGUAAAAACAAUGGGACAUACGGUCACACUUUGGGGUGGAACAUGUGUGGAAUGUGGAUUUAUAAAAACAAACUGAGCUACUUUUUGAACUAUAAUUUUUCCAUGGAGGUAGGGGUAACCUGUAUUUUGGAGAGGGGCAAAAAUUUGAUUGGUGACGAUGGCAAUUAAAUCCCAUAAAUAUUGCUCAUCAGAAAUAAUGUCUCUGAAUCGUGGUGUCCACCCUCUAAUGCACUUCGCUGGCCCAUUGAUAAGGAUAUCCCGAAUGGAAAUGGCUCAGUUACCGCCAGCCAACCGCAAUUAAGCUGACCCACAGCCGUUGCCUGGUAACCCAAAAGGUGUCCACAACAACUAGCCGGGCUCAGGAAGCAGAAACGUGGCCAAAACAACCACCGCCAGGAGUGCAGGCACCACCAAAGGACCAAGGACAAACCCUUGCAAGCCGUCUGGUCAGUUCGGUUUGUGUAUUUAAGCAAGGAACAACGGCAACGUGUUUAAUAUUCAGCCAGAUGCAGUUUACAAACGGCUUACUAAUAUAGAUGGGUAAAUAAAAGAUACAAAUAUGUGCUGAAAAUGGGAUCAAAGGUGUAAAAAAGUUAUCUACUGAUCUUCUGUUUAAAUAAAUAGUGAUAUAUGUAUAACUAAAGAAACAAUUCAGUAAAACAAGUGAAUGACGUAAAUAAAAGUGCUUACCUGCAAAUGAA